UACGUAGGGGGCAAGCGUUGUCCGGAAUCAUUGGGCGUAAAGAGCGUGUAGGCGGUCUUAAAGGUCUGGUGUGAAAGCCCGGGGCUCAACCCCGGAGGGUCACUGGAAACCAUAAGUCUUGAAUCUGGAAGAGGAGAGUGGAAUUCCUGGUGUAGCGGUGGAAUGCGCAGAUAUCAGGAGGAACACCAAUGGCGAAGGCAGCUCGCUGGUACAUGAUUGACGCUGAGACGCGAAAGCGUGGGGAGCGAACAGG
rnacentral:rRNA from 1 species